CCAAGCAGGCAGGAGUUGCCCUCAUUUUUUAUAAAAUGGGGGAGGAAAGUCCGGGCUUUCUCCCCGCUUUUAGCGGGGAUAAAAAAGUAGCGGCUAACAGCCGUCCACCGUGAGGUGCGAGGUGCGAACAGAAACGGUUUGGUCCGAAAGGGCCGAACGGCCCGGGUAAAAUCGGGCCACCCCUCAAAUAAACUCGGGUUUAUCCCGAACGAAGUGAGGGAUGAAACGGCUAAACCCUUACUGAAAGCAAGAGCAAACUAUGAGGCACACAAGCUUGAGUCUCAUAAGACAAGUAGCUCGCCAGAUCCCGAUGGCAACAUCGGGACCAGACAGAUGACUCCCAGUACAGAACCCGGCUUAUUACCUGCUUGGGUUU
rfam:Parcubacteria bacterium GW2011_GWF2_44_7 TW72_C0005, whole genome shotgun sequence.